UAAGGAAUAUUGCGCAAUGGGGGAAACCCUGACGCAGCAACGCCGCGUGGAGGAUGACACUUUUCGGAGCGUAAACUCCUUUUAUCAGGAAAGAAUAAUGACGGUACCUGAUGAAUAAGCACCGGCUAACUCCGUGCCAGCAGCCGCGGUAAUACGGGGGGUGCAAGCGUCACUCGGAAUCACUGGGCGUAAAGGACGCGUAGGCGGAUUAUCAAGUCUUUUGUGAAAUCUAGUGGCUUAACCACUAAACUGCUUAGGAAACUGAUAGUCUAGAGUAGGGGAGAGGUAGAUGGAAUUCUUGGUGUAGGGGUAAAAUCCGUAGAGAUCAAGAAGAAUACCCAUUGCGAAAGCGAUCUGCUGGAACCUAACUGACGCUGAGGCGUGAAAGCGUGGGUAGCAAACAGGAUUAGAUACCCUGGUAGUCCACGCCCUAAACGAUGUAUACUAGUUGUUGCUUUGCUAGUCAAGGCAGUAAUGCAGCUAACGCAUUAAGUAUACCGCCUGGGGAGUACGGUC
rnacentral:rRNA from 1 species